AAUACAAAAUAUUUGAUUUAAAUUAAAAGAUAAAAUAACGCCAAAAGUGGCGCAUCACUUGUGCUUGUUACAUGGUAUGUCUUGUAAAAUAAUACAAGUCCCCUACAAGCAUAUUAAAUGAAGCCUCUCACUAAAUAAUGUAUCUAAGCUUUUGAAUCAAAUAGCUAGCUACCUUACUUAUCCUUCUAGUAGUUAUGCAAUAAAUUAAGUGAACUAAAAAGGAGAUAAUUUGGGUAUAUACAAUAGUAAAAGACAAUAAUUAUGUUUGUAAUUAAACUAGCCCAAUUAUUUAAUUUGAAAUAUACUCCACUAAAAGAUUAGAACCGACCUCUACAAUUUUAUGUUUUCUAGGAUAGUGUUCCGACCAUAUCACAUUGAUUUUAUUAUUAAACAAUCUUUUGUACUACUUCAUUAAUUAAAUUGGUAUUUCAAUAGUUUAAUUAAUUUAAUUACAUCUUAUUCUUUGACACUUACUGGUUUUUUCUAAUUAUUAUUUUGAACAUACUAAUUAUGUUGACACAUUGUGACCAAAGAAUUAUGUGAUCAAGUAUUGAAAACUCAUUAAGAAAUGUAUCAUACAAAUUCUAUAUUACUAAUAUGUAAUUUCACUGUUCAUGCUCUCACUAAGAUAUCAAGUUAUUUUUACUACAAAUGUAUGUUGUGUCCAUUGGUAACUCAAAAGACAUAACAAUUGUAAUCAUGUAACUAUAAUUAAGUCAAGAUUGAGAUUAUAAUAAAAUAUGAGAUUUAAUAAGUCUAGCAGUCAUUUAAAGGUUAACUAAAUUUCAUAUAUGAUCUAAUUUAAUGUAGUUAGAUUACAAAAAAAAUUCAUAUAUGAUUAAGAUAAAUCAGUCAAAUAGUUUACUACAGCCUAAAUGCAAAUAAAGCGUCUAACUCUAUUUAUCAACUGAAAACUCAAUUUAUUUAAUUAUAAGAUAACUCAUAUUUAUGACUUCUAUGAAUCUAUAUGAUGAUUAUAUAAAUACAUAUAAUAUGACUGAACAGAUCUUAUU
rnacentral:lncRNA from 1 species